rnacentral:rRNA from 1 species
AUGAACUGGUGUAAGUUUAUUGCCGACUUUCUCCAUGAUGCUUUCAAAAACAAGAUGUACCAGAAGGGUUGUCGUCUGCACUUAAUGGCGAGGGCACCAGUGGAACAUCUAAUUGGGCAGUUUGCAUCCGGAAUGACCGGCCUGCUCGGGAAGUUGGUUGAGGGGUGGACGUCCCUCAGUGCCUCUGACAGCGACGCGGUUGCGAGGCAGUUCACUUCAUUUGUCCCAGAACGUACACAUCGGCCAACCGGUUGCCGUGGCCGGUAUGACUACAACAGCUCCCAAGAGCCCGGUGACACACAGGAUGAUGUGGAUGGAGACGCUGGCCUCAGCAAGGACGACGACGAUGACACCGAUGACGAUGAACACGCUGAAGUUCACACAUGCGGCAACAAGGGCAAGGAUGCAACAGGUGCCCACCCACUGGAGAAAGUGAAAGAACAUACGGCUGCGAGAGGCGAGGGGGUUUUGCCAUCAAGGAGGGGGAGGGCUCCAGAGGAUGUUGGGCAGGGUUCUGCUAGCAAGAGGUCUAGGAUCGAUCCCGUAGCUGCCAGGAAGAGUGAGCCGACCGCUGGUGGACGAGCAGCUACGAAGAAACAGGCGCCAACGCCAACCCGUGUUUCUGCUCACUUGAACAAAGGUGCCCCCAUUGCCGGUGACAUCCCUUCCACCAGGUCUUCUGCUCGUACGAUGACGACCAACACCGGGGAUCCUGUCGUGUUGCCUGACCUGAGGAAGGCAGUCAAGAAGGUGAAGAAGACUACUACGCGCGGGGCCAAGCAUAUCAGUAGAGACCCACUCGAACGCCUGCAUUCAAAGUUGUCAACAGGUGGCAACUCAGAUGUACAUGAGGCGCCAGGCGACAACACUGCUGCUGCACCGUCAACUGCUCCCACUAACUCUGAUGCAAGUGGCCGACCAUCUCCGCCGGCUGCAGAUGUGCAGGCUAGAACAACAGGCAUCCGUACAUCGGGGAGUGACGAGUCGGUAUCCGCCAGGACAGCUGAAAUAUUGCCAACUCUUCUGGCAAUGAAGGAUGCUGCUGUGAGCCAUGCCACCCCAUCAGCAAGCGUCGAAGUGGAUGCUCCCGAGACCAACCUAGGCAAGGAAGAUUCCCGCUCAUCUGACACUGAUCCCAAGCGCGUGCCUGGUGUCUCACCUGUGUCCAUAACAGAAGCGGCUGAGGCGGCACUUCACAAGGAUAUGCCAUCUGCAGAUGAGAAUCCUGGCACAAUAGCUCCAGCUCCUGUCGGUGGAGAUACUGCUAAGGCGACCGUUCCGCGUGCUGGUCUUCCACCUAGGCGUCGUAGCCCCCGCAAGCAAUCAACAGACAUACCCAACGCUCCGGCUGUAGCUAGGAGCAGGAGAGACGAAUCUGGUUAUGUUCCUGCGUCCACACUAUUCCCGCCACCUGCAAAAAUCAAUGUGAUGGAGAAACCGCAAGACCGGAGCACAACUGAUGCAGGUGUCAAGCCGGGCACGAGUGACGCAGAGGAACGCCCGGAGCAGACUGCGCCUUGA